UCCUACGGGGGGCAGCAGUGGGGAAUAUUGGGCAAUGGAGGAAACUCUGACCCAGCAACGCCGCGUGAAUGAUGAAGGUCUUCGGAUUGUAAAGUUCUUUUCUAAGGGAAGAAGAAAGUGACGGUACCUUAGGAAUAAGCCUCGGCUAAUUACGUGCCAGCAGCCGCGGUAAUACGUAGGGGGCAAGCGUUAUCCGGAAUUACUGGGUGUAAAGGGAGCGUAGACGGUUAAGUAAGUCUGGAGUGAAAGGCCGGGGCCCAACCCCGGGACUGCUCUGGAAACUAUUCAACUUGAGUGCAGGAGAG
rnacentral:rRNA from 1 species